ACACAUGCAAGUCGAGGGGCAGCAUUUUAGUUUGCUUGCAAACUAAAGAUGGCGACCGGCGCACGGGUGAGUAACACGUAUCCAACCUACCGAUAACUCUGGAAUAGCCUUUCGAAAGAAAGAUUAAUACCGGAUAGUAUACGAAUAUCGCAUGAUAUUUUUAUUAAAGAAUUUCGGUUAUCGAUGGGGAUGCGUUCCAUUAGUUUGUUGGCGGGGUAACGGCCCACCAAGACUACGAUGGAUAGGGGUUCUGAGAGGAAGGUCCCCCACAUUGGAACUGAGACACGGUCCAAACUCCUACGGGAGGCAGCAGUGAGGAAUAUUGGUCAAUGGGCGCAGGCCUGAACCAGCCAAGUAGCGUGAAGGAUGACUGCCCUAUGGGUUGUAAACUUCUUUUAUAUGGGAAUAAAGUUUUCCACGUGUGGAAUUUUGUAUGUACCAUAUGAAUAAGGAUCGGCUAACUCCGUGCCAGCAGCCGCGGUAAUACGGAGGAUCCGAGCGUUAUCCGGAUUUAUUGGGUUUAAAGGGAGCGUAGGUGGAUUGUUAAGUCAGUUGUGAAAGUUUGCGGCUCAACCGUAAAAUUGCAGUUGAAACUGGCAGUCUUGAGUACAGUAGAGGUGGGCGGAAUUCGUGGUGUAGCGGUGAAAUGCUUAGAUAUCACGAAGAACUCCGAUUGCGAAGGCAGCUCACUAGACUGUCACUGACACUGAUGCUCGAAAGUGUGGGUAUCAAACAGGAUUAGAUACCCUGGUAGUCCACACAGUAAACGAUGAAUACUCGCUGUUUGCGAUAUACAGUAAGCGGCCAAGCGAAAGCAUUAAGUAUUCCACCUGGGGAGUACGCCGGCAACGGUGAAACUCAAAGGAAUUGACGGGG
rnacentral:rRNA from 1 species